rfam:Chitinophaga pinensis DSM 2588, complete genome.
ACCAGGUGGAGCAGCGACCACUCAAAAAACGGGCGAAGCCGAAAAGCCAGACGAGUAGGAACAAA